GUGGGGAAUCUUCCGCAAUGGACGAAAGUCUGACGGAGCAACGCCGCGUGAGUGAAGAAGGUUUUCGGAUCGUAAAGCUCUUUCGUUAGGGACGAACGUGCUCUUUGUGAAUAAUGAGGAGUAAUGACGGUACCUAAAUAAGAAGCCACGGCUAACUACGUGCCAGCAGCCGCGGUAAUACGUAGGUGGCAAGCGUUGUCCGGAAUUAUUUGGCGUAAAGCGCGCGCAGGCGGGAUAUCAAGUCUGUCUUAAAAGUGCGAGGCUCAACCUCGUGAGGGGACAGAAACUGGUAUUCUUGAGUGUCGGAGAGGAAAGUGGAAUUCCAAGUGUAGCGGUGAAAUGCGUAGAGAUUUGGAAGAACACCAGUGGCGAAGGCGACUUUCUGGACGAUGUCUGACGCUGAGGCGCGAAAGCUAGGGGAGCGAACGGGAUUAGAUACCCCGGUAGUCC
rnacentral:rRNA from 1 species